rnacentral:tRNA from 1 species
GGGGGCGUAGCUCAGUUUGGUUAGAGCGCCGGCCUGUCACGCCGGAGGCCGCGAGUUCGAGCCUCGUCGUCCCCGCCA